UGUAUUUCUUUUUUCAGUUAUUUUAGGGGUAGUUACCAUGGUUAGCACCAUGACUUAAAAGUAGGACCAUGAUCUAUUUCAGCUUCUUUAAUUGUAUGUUUAUGUAUUGUUGGUUCUUUUUACUGAAAUACAACUCUCUGCAUAAGCUUUUCUCUUAGUCAUCUUCACAUUUAAAUUCCUUGUAUUCUCCUGCUUUCCUUUCUGUAGCAAACUAGACAUUGUCU
rnacentral:lncRNA from 1 species